GGGAAGAAAGCAGCAGCAGAGGAGAUGGUACUGUACAGGAAAAGAAGAGAUCAGAUUCACAUUCACGCCACAACCUCAACCUCCUCUCCGACUCCGAGUUUGGGAAACCUGGUUUCUAUUACAAUUCGGGGAUGUGGGAAAUUACGAAACCUCUUCACAACCUCCAUGGUCAAAAGCCUGGUGCGACUUGAAAGCCUAGAAGUAAGAAGCUGCCCAACACUGCAAGAAAUAAUCAUGGAUGAUGAAGGAGAAGUGGGACUGCAGGGAGCAUCAACAAAGAAGAUCACGUUUCCAAGUUUGUUCGGCAUAAAACUCUGUGAUCUAGACAGCCUUGCUUGUUUCUGCUCGACAGGUUUACAUCACUUUUAAAUAAUUGACUGUCCAGGCAUGAAGACCUUUGGUUAUGGUGACCAACUGACACCCAAGCUGCUGAAAGGUGUGGAGUUAGAAAUUGGUGAAUAUCGCUGGACGGGUAACCUUAACCACACCAUUACCCAAUACGUACAAUGAAGAGGUACAUCAAGUUAGCAAUUGCAUGCUUGUUAAAUUCCUUGGUUUUUUUUUUUUUUUUUUAAUUUUAAUUGUAUUUGUAUGUGGUGGUAAAAUGAUUUUCUACAUCUGCUUAUACUAGCACACCAUUUUAAUUUUGUUUUUCAUUUGGGGCAGAAAAUCAGGGAAAAACAAGCAAUGGAGUCGGGAAUUUCAUCUGAGACUACUUCCUCUUACACUGAGAAUUGAUUGUAUAAAACAAACGGUAUGCAUGCGUAAAAUUUUACUAAAUUCCCUAGAUUUUGUCACAUAUUUAUCCUUUGACAUUGCUCUAACUAAUUCAAAUACUUGAUUUGUUUUCAGAACCAUCAUGUAAGGAGCGUUGACAGGUUCGCAUACAUCACCAGUUUAUUGAAUUUCAUUCUUCUUUUUCAUGUCUUAUAUAUUAUAUGUACAAAAGAAUUUCAUGCAUUUUCUUCCUUUGGGAUUGUGCAUGAUGUUAUUUAUUCUGGUUUCAAUCUCUCAGGUAUGCCAAGCCCAGAUGCCAGAUUGCUUGGGAUGUUAAAAUAAUAAUUACUUUAGUUAGUGGAGCUGCCUGCAAAAAUUUGGUAUCCAUAAUGUAUGUUGUUUGUUUAGAUAUUAAACAGUUAGAGUUUGUUAAUCAUAGACGUAUUCUCAAUGUGCUAAGUAUCGGCAGGGAACUGCUGAGUUCAAUUCUGAAAAAUAAAUGUAAUUUGGUAUUACAAGUGAGAAAAAUAAUUGUGAAUUCUUAUUUCUUUUGUUCGCACUUGGUUACUAGUCAAUUUAAGAGAUACCUUAAUGAUAUUCUCUUCUUCUAUUUCUUCUAUUCUUAAAUUGUUGUUCAUAAUUAAAAAAUAAAUAAAAUUAUUUGAUAUCCUAGUAACCUACUUUUAGAGCCUGCUAAUUUAGUUGCAGCUUUGCAGUAUUGAGUUACUGAAUUAAAAAUAUUAGAUUUUCCCUCUUUCCAGAUCAAUGCAUGCUAAUGCAACAUUGCUUUUGCUUGCUGGCAAUAGAACAGGCUGCCAAUGGAACACAAAUUUAUAAGUUUCGGAAUAAAGUUUUCAUUAAUUAAUAAAAAGCUGAAUGACAAUUUCCUAGUAACAUAUGCCGAAUCUGGAGCCACAUUCUCUUGGUAACCAUUUUUCCAAAGUUCAAAAGCUUCUCUGCUAGUUGUGCCCAAUCCUGUCUCAAGCCAAUCUCAGAAAUAACCUCUGAGAAGAUGCCCUGCCAUCAGAAUUCAAUCAAGGGCCUUCAGGAUUUAGCUGACAGAUGCUUGAAGCAAAAUUUUAACUUCAGCAGCAGCUGAACCCAGAAAAUCCACAGCCAUUUGAUCAUUAUCAAAUGCAAAAUGAACAGGCACAAGGAAAAAAACAGGUACCAGAAUUUGAGCAGCAGCUCCGUGGUUGCCGGUGGGAGCUUCACUAAUGGAGUGUGAGCACAGAAAUUGAGCCAUCAUCAUUCUGAGUUCCGAAGAGUUUAUUGUGUUUCUAUUAUGAGUUGAUUUAGUGUUUUGACUAUGUUCUGGUUUUGAGUUGAAUGAUUAUUUCAACAUAACUUUGUCUUGAACAGAUUGUGUUUGGAGUAAAAUUCUCAUAAAAGGGCUGACAGUGACAAGUUCUGUACGUUCCCGAAGGAAGAUUCACCGUAUAUAUUAUUGGCCUUAUGAAGAGAAGCAAGGCUCUGCAGGUUGAGCAAUUGGUGUUGGUUUUGUGACCAAUUGCCAUGAUGAUGAUCAGUAUCAUCAAUAUUAUCCCGCACAUUAAGCCUGCCCAUGCCUCGGUUGCAUCAUGCCAAUCAUUAUUUAUCAUCAUCAGUCUGCGUGAUGGGCUCUGCAACACCACCAUACUCCUCUAGUGCCAUUGUAAUAUCACAAAGCAAGAAGUUGAAACCUGCUGCUGAUGAGCUCUGCAACAUCACCGUACUCCUCUGAUGCCAUUGUAAUAUCACAAAACAAGAAGUUAAAAUGUAGAAAAUGUUUAAAAUCAAAUAAAAUUUGAACCAAAAAAAAAAAACCACCGAAAGAUUGCACUCACAGUUUUGCGGAAGAAAUUUCCACACUUAAAACGAACAAAAGAGGUAACAGAAAACACGCAUUCUACUAGGAUAAGGAAACCUCGGUUAGUUUUAUAAUAUUAAAUUACUACUAAAACAAUGUGUUUUUGUGUUUAAUAAGAAAAAUUAAAAUUGAGUUGAAUCUUGUCCAUCCAAUAAUUUAAAUAACACACGUCAAAAUGUCUUUAAAACAUUAGGAAAGAUUAGAGUAUGAAGGAAACUGGAUCCAACUAUUGGGAUAAUUAGUAAUAAAUUUACAAUCAGAAUUAAUCUUUACAAAUUGUUUAAAACUGCACCUCAUAUAUAUUUAGACUCCAUUUGAUAUAGCCUCUGAAAUACAUUUUAUUUAAAUAGAACUUUUACAAAUAGAGUUUUUAUUUAAAAAAAAUUAGUUGCUUGGUUGUUAAUAAGAGUUUUUAUUAAAAAUUAUAAAAUUAUCAAAGUUUAAAGUUAUGUUAUAAAAAAAUAAAAUAAUAAUAUAAAACAAAUAAUGAGCAUUUUAGACAAUUGAACUUUCUAAGAAAAAAAAAACUUUGUAACCUCUAGCCCUAAAAACUCAAAAUUUGAGCUUUUUUUAAUGGAGGUAAAAUACUAUUUAUUUCACUCUCAAAAGCUCAAUUAAAAUAAAAUAAAAAACCAAACAACAAAAAAUAAAUAAAAAAUUUAGAAAGAACUUAUAUACAUUAGAUAAGUCAUUCAAGCAGGCAUUUAAAAGGAAAAAAAAUAUUCAGUUAAAACUCAACUCAAAGUAUCAAGUUUAACUUAAAAGCUAGGGCUAAUGGGUUGAGCCCUCGCUAGCUCAUGGUACAAUUACAAACUUUUAAAAUACGAUUUAUAUAAAUGAAAUUAAUUUAACAUUUAUGUGAUAAAAGAUUAAGAAAUCUUUAGUCAAAUAAGAAAACUAAUAUAUGCGAUUUUUAUGGGAAAACAAAUUGGUGGAAAGAAUCUCAAUUUCGCAUAAUUAAUUUUAUUUUCAAUAUUAUAUUAUAUUAAUAAUUUUUGUCAAAAUUAUUAUUUAUUUAAUGUGAAAACAAAUGCAUGGUAUAAUAUUUAUUCUAUUACUUAAAUUUAAAAUUAUAAAGAAUAAAACUUAAAUCUAAAAUUGUAAAGAAUGAAUAAUAACUUAAAUUAAUAGAUUAUGGGAGGAUACCUUUCAAAAAAAAUAAAAUUAACUAACUUUUUAGGCUUCUAACGUAACAUUUUUAUUUUUUGUUGUUAACAUAAGACAAAAAUUUAGUCUAAAAAACUCAUUCUAGGGUCUUCUUAGGGUAAAAAAAAAUCAUUAUCACAUGAUAAUUUAGCCUAAGUUGUAUUAUUUUUAAUUUACUUAUUCAUCCCAAACACCUUAUUGAAAUUAAAUUUUAGUAAAGUAAACCCAUCCCACCAUCUUUAAUCGCAUUCAGUAGGCACUAAUUGAUUAGAUCUUGUUAUAGAAAGUAAUAUAUAACUCUUUCUUUAUUACAAUGCUAAAAAAAAAAAACAUAAACACAAUAUAUUUCUUUUGAGAAAAUGCAAGUAUUAUGUUUUUUAGGUUUUGUGUUUAAGAAAUUAAUCUAAUUUAUGUAGUUAUAAGACUCUUAUUUUUUUAUGUUUUAGAAGAAUUAUAUGUUUGAUAAUGAAUAAAUUAAGAUUUAAAGUAGGACAAACUAAUUUUAGAGGGAGAUAGAGAAAAUAAUUUUUUUAGAAUUCGAAAAUUAUUAUAUUUUAAUUGGGGCUUAUUACAUAAAAUUAUUAAAACAUAUGGUUUUUAUUAUUUAUAGAAAACAAUAGGAAUUGCUAAAGAAAACACUAAAUAAUUUUUUUAAAUUUGAAAUUAUUAUAUUUUAAUUGGGGCUUAUUGCAUAAAAUUUACAAAAAUUAUAAUUUCAAUUAUUUACAGGAAACAAUAGUGACUGUUAAAUAAAUAUCAAAUUUGGGGGUUUGGUACAACGGUUGCAAAGUAGUUUUGUCCUCCUUUUCAUUAAUAGAGAAUUAUCUCCUCAAUUAUUGAUUGGGGUUUGUACCCUCUCUUUUUUUUUAAAUAUUUAAUUUUCGACACUUUACUCUUUCUUUGUCCGAUUACAAUUUUUGUUCUGUUGUGAUGCUCUUCUUUUUCUUAGAGUACAUACUUUGACACAAGACCAGUAAUCUGCUCAUCAAUCUCAAGCGUGUAUUAUUGCAAUUGAUUGCUUUCUCACCCCUUCAUUAACCCAGAAAAUACAUACAUCCUAGCCUAAAUUACUGUCUGCUCAUUACCUUUUAUACCAUUAUUCCUUCGUCCUUAACCUCAGAAAACAAGUUGAAUAUGGCCGCGGAAACUGUUGCUUCAGUUACCCAGCCUAUUACGGAGAAGAUUGUUGACGUGUUGUUCAAUGCAACAGUCCGUCAGUUUGGUUACUUGUGUAAGUACAAACACUACAUUGAAGCGUUGAGGACGGAAGCAAAGAAGCUUACAGAUACAAGAAAUGACUUGCAAGCGGAAAUUGAUGCUGCAACAAGAAAUGGAGAAGCUAUUAAGGAUGAGGUUCAAAGAUGGCCAGACAAAGUUGAUGAGAUCAUUCCAACAGCUGAAAAGUUUUUGGAGGAUGAAGUGAAAGUAAACAAGACAUGCCUUGGCGGGUUGUGCGUUGAUCUCAAAUCACGCUACAAACUCAGCAGAGAGGCAGAGGAGAAGAUUCUGGCAAUUUCCGCUCUCAUAGCUGCUGGUAAUUUUGGAAAAGAUGUGUCUCGUCCUGCCCCUCCACCAGCAAUAAUAUCUUUGUCUGAAGGAUUCUACAAUUUCAAAUCCAGGGAAUCAACAAUGAAGGAUAUAAUGGAGGCCAUGAAGGAUGAAAAAGUCAGCAUAAUUGGAAUAUGCGGAAGGGGGGGUAUCGGGAAGACCACACUAGUCAAGGAAAUUCAGAAGCAAGCAAAAGAAAAGAAGAUGUUUGAUGAAGUAGCGAUGGCCGUUGUGUCUCAAACUCCAAGCAUUACCAAGAUUCAAGAUGAGAUUGCUGGCUGGUUAGGUAUUAAAGAACUGCCUGACAAUGACGAGUUAGUAAGAGCUAGUCUUUUGUGCAAAAGAAUUGAGAAGCAGAGAGUGCUUGUCAUAUUGGACGACUUAUGGGUGCAGAUAGAAUUGGAUAGGGUUGGUAUUCCUUACGGAAAUGAUGGCUGUAAAUUUUUGCUCACAUCUCGAUCACGUGCUGCCUGCAAUCAAAUGCAAGCUCAUAUUGUUGAUGUCAGAACUUUAACAGAAGAGGAAUCUUGGAGGAGUGCUGAAGGAAAGAGACGAGUAUGUUUGGAAAGAUGCAGCCUAACAACUUAAAAGUUCCACCCCAACGAACAUCGAAGGGAUGGAAGAGUUUGUAGUUUCACGCGUGGAACUGAUCUACAAUUAUCUGAAAAGCGCGGAGGCAAAAUCAAUCUUCCGACUCUGUAGCUGCUUUCCAGAAGAUUACAAUAUUCCAAUUGAAGUGUUGGCGAGAUACGGAUAGGGUUUGAGGUGCUUACAAAACGUCGAUUCAGUGGAGAAGGCCAGAUGCAGAGUACGUAGUGCUGUAAGCUAUGACGAGGAGGAAGGGUGUGCUAAAAUGCAUGACGUUGUACGCUAUGUUGCACAACAAAUAGCAUCUUGUUAGUGAUAUCGAAAGCAGAGCACAGAUUCAGGGUAUGACUGACUGCAGCUGAUUAGCUCAUGAAAGCUGACUUGGCAAGUUAGUUAUCCAGCUCAUCUCACACAGCUGAAAUAUAACGAACUGAGUGAAUUGUUGAGUCGGUUUUAGCUUGCUAUAUAAACGUGUAUUUUGCACUCAGAUGUAAGGUUAAGAAACAUCAAUAAAAUCACAGAUUCGUUUUCACUUUCCUUUUUCAUUUUCUUAAGCUUUCUAGUUAACCAAACAACUAUUUUCUAUAGUUUUGUCAUGGUAUCAGAGCUACGGAUGACGAAUAUAAAUCAAAACAAUCUUUCCUUCAGCUUUGUUACACCAAUUAAGUUGGAUCAGAAUAAUUUCAUUCUUUGGCGCACGCAAGUUCUUACAACGGUGAAAGGAAAUGGAUUGGAAGGUUUUAUUAAUGGCGAUAACAAAUGUCCAGAACAGUUUCUCAUCUCUGAGAGUGAUAUUGAGAGUGUAGUAUCAACUGGAAGCUCAAGAUCUAUAAACUCUGAGUUUGUAGCUUGGAUGAAGACUGACCAGCUACUGUUGAGUUGGAUGAUGUCAUCGAUCCAGCAAAAUCUGCUCUCUACAGUGAUCGAUUGUACAACAUCUAAGCAACUCUGGGAGACUCUUACUGGUAUGUUUAUCUCCCAAUCUCAGGCUCGAAUCCAAACACUGAGAAUGCAAAUCCAAACCAUUAAGAAAGGUUCAAUGCAUAUGGCUGACUAUUUUGCUAAAGUUAAACGAAUAGCAGACACUUUAGCUUUAGCUGGUAAACCAGUAGAGUUAGGCGAUUUGAUUAUGCAUGUCUUGAUUGGUCUUGACUCAUUUGACUGUGAAUCUUUAGUGACUGCUGUCUUGGCUAGAGGUGACAAGAUAACACUGGAUGAAUUAUAUUCCUUGUUAUUGAAUCAUGAAAUUAGAAUUGAACAGAAGAGAGGGAAAAUUACUAGUGAUGUGAUGCAUAAUAUGACAGCUAAUGUUGCUCAAAGAAAUACAUAUUCUGGUAAAAAUAAUGGUGGUUUUCAAAAGAAUUAUGGAGGAAAUUUUGGAAAUGGAAACAAUUCAGGUUUCGGUGGUUUUAAUAGUGGUGCUUCUGGUAAUAGUUCUGGUAAUGGUGGUGGUGCUUUUAAUGGAAAUAACUUCUCUGAUGUUGUUUGUCAAAUAUGCUACAUACCUGGACAUGGAGCUUAUAAGUGCAGAAACAGAUACAACUCAUCAUUUGUGCCUCAGAAAAACUAUGGUAGAGGCAACUUUGAUAGUGGUUUUAGACCUCCUGGACAAUUUGGAAAAGGUAGAUUUUUUAAUGGUGGUGGUAGAGGCCCUGGACAAUUCAACAACAAUUAUAAUUCACCAAGAGGUUUUGGUUUUCAAGGUGGUUCUGGUUUUCAGGGUAACAUAGUGCAUGCAGAAAAUUCCUUUAGCACUCCAUCUGCAUUUUACUCUUUUACUCCUGGUUCAUCAACAUAUGCUCCAACUGAAAACCCUGACAAUAGUGGUCAAUACAAUGCCUCUACUUCAUCUUCUCUGCCUCCAUCAAAUCCAAAUGUGUCCCCUGAGCUUGUUGAAGAUCCCUCAUGGUACUUUGACAGUGGAGCAACAAACUACAUCACCAAUGAUUUAGGUAAGCUUCUUUAUUCACAAGCUUAUACUAGUGAGGAAAAAUUAUUUGUUGAAAAUGGAAAUGCAUUGGUUAUUAAUCAUAUAGGAUCAGCAAUACUUACAACUUCAACUUCGAAACCUUUAUUGCUUAAUCAUGUCCUUUAUGUACCAAACAUAACCAAAAACUUGCUUAGUAUUUCAAAACUUGUGGCUGAUAAUUUUGUUGCUGUUGAAUUUCUUGAUAAUUGAUGCUUUGUCAAGGCCAUGGACACAGGAAUAACUUUACUUGAAGGUGUUGCUAAGGGUGGCUUGUAUCAAGUCAAAAACAUCUUUUCUCAGUCAUCUCAGUCAGCUAUUUUCAACUCAGACAGUUUCAAUAAACCUGAAUCUCUUUUUGCUUCUUGUGCUAUGUCUCAUGUCAAUAAACCAGAAGUUGUAAAAGCCUCUGAAACAAGUUUUCAGUUUGUUUUUUCUGCAGUUGCACUGCAAUCGGUUAGUAUGGAUGUUUUUCAUAGGAGACUUGGGCAUCCAGCACCUUAUGUUCUCAAAACAAUAUUCAAAGCUUGUAAUGAUUCUGCUGUUUUUAAUAAGAUUGAAAAAUUGUCUUUCUGUAAUGCUUGUCAAUAUGGCAAAAAUCACAUGCUUCACUUCAAUUCAGUAGAAACCAAAACAACAUUACCUCUACAACUGAUUUAUGCUGAUCUUUGGGGGCCUUCUCACACUUUUUCUACUCAGGGAUACAAAUACUAUCUUUCCAUCCUUGAUGACUUUAGUAGAUUUACAUGGAUAUUUCCCUUAUCUGCAAAAUCAGAUGCCAUUGAAGUCUUUUCAAACUUUAAACUCUUCAUAGAAAACCAUUUGCAGCACAAAAUUAAAACUGUUCAAACUGACUGGGGAGGGGAAUUCAGAACCUUUACCUCUUUACUCAAAGCUUCUGGCAUACAUUUUCGACACCCCUGCCCACAUAUACAUCAUCAAAAUAGGAGAAUUGAAAGGAAACACAGACACAUAGUUGACAUUGGCUUAACCCUACUAGCUCAAGCUCACUUGCCUCUUAAGUUUUGGUGGAAUGCUUUUCACACAGUUGUCUACCUAAUCAAUAGACUUCAUACUCCAGUUUUAAAUAACAUUUCACCUUUUCAAAAAUUGUUUAAUCAAACACCAAACUAUUCCUUUCUCAGAACCUUUGGUUGUGCCUGUUAUCCAGCCUUAAGACCAUACAAUAAACACAAGUUGGAUUUCAGAACUUGCAGGUGUAUAUUCCUUGGUUAUAGCUCUUAUCAUAAGGGUUAUUUGUGUCUUCAUUCUUCAGGACGAGUUUAUACAUCCAACCAUGUUGUUUUUUAUGAAAGUUCUUUUCCUUAUGUUUCUGGUUUAGAUUUUUCAUCUCUAGAUAAAUGUCAGUCUCCAGUUUCUUUCUCAGAGUCAUCUUUCUCUUCUUUCUCUUCUUCUUCUGUUCCUUCCUUUGUUCAUCUAUAGGUUCCUUUAGCAACAUCAUCAACAAGUAUUCCUGAUGCCUCACAAAUACACAUAAACCAAGAUUCUUCUCCUUCCUUACCUACUGAAUCAUUCAGUCCCUCCACACAUCAUUCACCAGCUCAUACACUACCUUUAUCUCAAUCCACUGGUCAUCAAAUGAUAACCAGGUCAAAAGCUAGCAUCUUCAAACCAAAAGCUUAUUUGUCAGCUCUAUUAGCUCAGCCUUCUGAACCUCUUUCAACAUCUCAAGCCCUUGCUGAUCCUAUGUGGUUCAAAGCUAUGCAAGAAGAAUUUCAGGCUCUUCAAAGCAAUAAGACAUGGGAAUUGGUGUUGCCUGAUACACCUGUUAAAAUAGUUGGAAAUAAGUGGGUUUUCAGAAUCAAAUACAACUCUGAUGGAUCUAUUUCAAGAUAUAAGGCUCGAUUGGUUGCUAAGGGGUUUCAUCAAACCCAAGGAGUUGAUUACACUGAAAUUUUUAGUCCAGUGGUUAAAGCCUCAACAGUAAGGGUAAUUCUCAGUUUAGCAGUUCUUAACAAAUGAGUGAUUCGACAAGUGGAUGUCAACAAUGCCUUUCUCAAUGGCAUUUUAGUUGAGGAAGUGUAUAUGGCACAACUUGAGGGUUUUGUGAACUCUGCUAAACCUCAUCACAAUUGCAAGUUACAGAAAGCUAUAUAUGGCCUGAAACAAGCUCCUAGGGCUUGGUUUGAUAGAUUCAAAGAUGCAAUGAUAACUCAGUGGCAGUUUCAGCACUCCAAAUCAGACAGCUCUCUCUUCUAUAAGUGGAUAAAUGGUCAUGUAAUUUUGGUUCUGGUUUAUGUAGAUGACAUCAUUCUCACUGGUUCCAAUCCUCAGCUAAUUCAACAAGUGAUUCAACACAUGCAUCACACGUUUGCUUUAAAAGAUUUGGGGGAUCUUAAUUACUUCCUUGGAAUUGAAGUAGUUAAGUCAGCAACUGGUCUCUAUCUAUCUCAAGCAAAGUACAUUGCUGAUAUUUUGGCAAAACAUGAUAUGGUUUAUAGCAGUCCAGUCUCUACACCUAUGUUUACUAGUCAAUAUCUUACAAAGGAUUCAGGUGAUAUCAUUCGGAAUGUGUCUCAAUACAGAAGUAUUGUAGGUGCCUUACAAUAUGUUACCCUUACACGACCUGAUAUAGCCUAUUCAGUUAAUAAGCUUAGUCAAUUCCUUUCCAAUCCACGUACUUCACAUUGGGAUGCUUGUAAAAGGUUGCUGAGAUACUUGAAAGGAACCUUACAUCUUGGACUGCAUUUUCACAUGACUGGAGCACUUCAACUACAUUGCUUCACAGACUCUGAUUGGGCUUCUGAUCGAGAUGACAGGAAGUCAGUAGCUGGUUAUGCAGUCUAUCUCGGUCCAAACUUAGUCUCUUAGUCAUCCAAGAAGCAAGCAGUGGUAUCAAGGUCAAGCACAGAAGCAGAAUACAGAGCUUUGGCCCAUGCUACUUCAGAAGUGAUAUGGAUACAAUCUCUUCUUCAAGAGCUGCAAAUCAAACUUAGUACUACUCCAAUGAUGUGGUGUGAUAAUCAAGGGGCUAUUGCUCGCGCAUACAAUCCUGUCUAUCAUGCAAAAACAAAGCAUGUUGAGCUGGAUAUUCACUUCAUCAGAGACAAGGUUGCAGCUAAGAGUAUUGAAGUUAGUUAUGUGCCUAGUGAUGAUCAGUCAGCUGAUAUAUUAACUAAAGCACUUUCAUUCAAGCAGUUUGAUUAUCUGUGACACAAGCUGAAUGUCUAUCCUGGACAUUUCAGCUUGAGGGGGGAUGUUAGUGAUAUCGAAAGCAGAGCACAGAUGCAGGGUAUGACUGACUGCAGCUGAUUAGCUCAUGAAAGCUGACUUGGCAAGUUAGUUAUCCAGCUCAUCUCACACAACUGAAAUAUAACGAACUGAGUGAAUUGUUGAGUCGGUUUUAGCUUGCUAUAUAAACGUGUAUUUUGCACUCAGAUGUAAGGUUAAGAAACAUCAAUAAAAUCACAGAUUCGUUUUCACUUUCCUUUUUCAUUUUCUUAAGCUUUCUAGUUAACCAAACAACUCUUUUCUAUAGUUUUGUCACAUCUAAAAAUAAGUUCAUGAUUAAGGCCGGCGUAGAGCUAAAAGACUGGCCAAGCAUAAAUACAUUUGAAGAUCUCUGAUACAACUUUGCCCGAGAUUAAUAACAAAUCAGCACUUGAAACAGAGGAAGAAACCCAGCUGGUCGAGGAGCCCAUAAAAGGUCCUGCUCGUAUGCGCAGGGCACCAACAUACCUCAAGGAUUACAUUACCUAAGGAAUAUUCGAGAAGGAACAAAAAGAGUGAGAAAGAUGACAGUUGUGAUUUUGGUUAUUUUGUUGUGACUAUUUGUUUUGCCAAUCAUUACAUAGUUGCUUAGUUACGCUUGUAUUGUUGUGGGGUAAAAGAUAUUUGUAGAGGGCAACACGUCAAAAAAGUGAAUAUAGAAAAUGGCAAAUAUUUCUUCUUCUCUCUCUCCGUCUCUCCUGCUAUCUCUGUUUCUCCAUUAAUUUCAAUUCUUUUUGCUUCUUUUUGCUGGAGUCGGCACUUACUCGAAAAGUGUAUGUCUAUGAUAUAAACUCUGAGUUGCAGAGUUGUAUCAACCUCACUGGAAUCUCGUUGAUGUUCAAUGAGAUUCAUGAGGUGCCUGAUGGGUUGGAGUGUCCAAAGAUCCAGGCUUUAUUCCUACAGAAAAAUUCUCCCUUAGUUAUUCCUGACAAAUUUUUUCAACGGAUGAAAGAUCUGAAAGUUUUAGACAUGGGUAAAAUCUCACGUUUAUCACUGCCUCCUCUCUCAUUCCUUAUUAACCUUAGAACUUUACGUCUUGAUAAUUGCUUUGGCUUGGGUGACCUAUCUUUAAUCGGAGAGUUAGGUCGAUUAGAGAUUCUUGAUCUUUCAAAAUCUCAUAUAAGUGAAAUUCCUGCCAGUUUUCGCCAACUGGCUCAGCUAAAAUUGUUAGAUUUGACCGGGUGUUACGUCCUAGAGUUAAUACCCCAAGGUGUCAUAUCCCGCCUUUGUAAGCUAGAGGAGUUAUACAUGUCAAACAGUUUUCACCACUGGCAGUUUGAGAGUGAAGAAGAUUCAAGAAGUAAUGCCAAAUUCAUUGAGUUACGAGCCUUGAGUCGACUCACUAGUUUGCAUACUGAAAUCCCGAAAGGCAAAAUCUUGCCUUCCGAUAUGUCCUUCCAAAAUCUGACAAGCUUUUUUAUCUCAAUUGGCGUCAGUAGCAUCAACAGUUCUUGGGCUGUUAUAGAACUGUUCAAUAGAAAAUUUAAGAGAUGCUCGAGAGCAUUGUGGCUUAUGCAGAGGAUUGCAGCGCUACAUUCUUGGAUUAAGAAUUUGCUGCUCAGAUCAGAGAUUCUUGCUUUGGUAGAAAUCAACGAUUUGGAGCAUAUAUUCUCGAACCUAGCUAAUAAUGGCUUUAACGAAUUGAUGUUUCUAGCUAUUUCCGGCUGCAAUGAGAUGAAAUGUCUCUUGAACUCAUUGGAAAGGACACUACGAGUAACUCUCCUCAAGCUAGAAUGGUUGAUGAUAGUUGAUAACCGGAACUUUGUUGAAAUAUGCCACGGUCAACUCCCAGCCGGGUGCUUGAGCAAUGUAAAAAGGUUAGAUGUGGCACAUUGUGGCAGUAUGUUGAAAAUUUUAUCAAGUCAUUUGGUACAAAGCUUUCAAAAUCUUCAACGUUUGACGGUAGAAAGUUGUGAGUUGCUGGUGUCUGUAUUCGAAAUUGAACGGGUUGAUGUUGCAAAAGAAGAAAUCGGGUUGUUUUCGUCAUUAGAGAAACUGACUCUGAUCGACCUGCCUCGGAUGACAGACAUAUGGAAAGGUGACACUCAAUUUGUAAGUCUCCGUAACUUGAAGAAAGUAAGAGUGCAAGAUUGCAAUGAGUUGAGACAAGUAUUUCCAGCAAGUCUUGGGAAGAAAGCAGCAGCAGAGGAGAUGGUACUGUACAGGAAAAGAAGAGAUCACAUUCACAUUCACGCCACAACCUCAACCUCCUCUCCGACUCGGAGUUUGGGAAACCUGGUUUCUAUUACAAUUCAGAGAUGUGGGAAAUUACGAAAGCUCUUCACAACCUCCAUGGUCAAAAGCCUGGUGCGACUUGAAAGCCUGGAAGUAAGCAGCUGCCCAACACUGCAAGAAAUAAUCAUGGAUGAUGAAGGAGAAGUGGGACUGCAGGGAGCAUCAACAGAGAAUAUCACGUUUCCAAGUUUGUUCAGCAUACAACUCUGGGAUCUAGACAGCCUCGCUUGUUUCUGUUCAGCAGGUUCACAUGCUACUACUGAAUUCCUAGCUUUGGAGGCUUUGCUAAUAAUUGAUUGUCCAAGCAUGAAGACCUUUGGUUAUGGAGACCAACUGACGCCCAAGCUGCUGAAAGGAGUGAAGUUAGAAGGUGGUGAAUAUCGCUGGACGGGUAACCUUAACCACACCAUUCAACAAUACGUGUACAACGCAAAGGUACGUCAAGUUAGCAAUUGCUUGCCCAUUAAAUUCCUUGUUUUUUUUUUCUUAAUUGUAUUUGUAUGUGGUGGUAAAAUGAUUUUCUACAUCUGCUUAUACUAGCACACCAUUUUAAUUUUGUUUUUCAUUUGGGGCAGAAAAUUCGGGAGAAAGAACCAAUGAAGUCAGGAAUUUCAUCUGAGACUACUUCCUCUAACACUGAGAAUUGAUUGUAUAAAACAAACGGUAUGCAUGCGUAAAAUUUUACUAAAUUCCCUAGAUUUUGUCACAUAUUUAUCCUUUGACAUUGCUCUAACUAGUUCAAAUACUUGAUUUGUUUUCAGAGCAAUUGCAAGUGUCACAAUUUGAGAGAUUUAAGAGAGCUUCUACUUGAGUGUUCUAGUGAGGAUCAAACUGGGUGUAUUGGAGUUGUGAGUUUUGAGAGAGUUUAUUUCCUACUUUUGUAAAUUCAAAUUGAUUAGUAAGAUUAUCUUUCAGUCUUUGUUCAUGGACGUAGGCUUUACGCCAAACCACAUAAAUUAUUGUGUCCUAUUUUCUUUACAUUUGUUUAUCACAACAUUUACAUUUCUCCAAAAGUCGUGAUCACUGUAAUAUUGAUAAUUGCUCAAUCUACACUUUCGCAACAAUUGGUAUCAAAGCAGACAAUUCGUGCUUGAGUUAUACGGCAUUGUUCACGUAUAUAGUACUAUUCACGAAUACGAUAGAGCCAAUAGUUCGUACUUGGAAGUAUCAGGAGCCUGCAAUGUAGUUGUGUGGAUAAAUGCAUGUCUAGGAAAGUUUUUUCAAUAAGAUGAUAGGAGUCUAAGGAGUCGUGGGACUGUUGUGCCCCUUAUAUUGUCUUAAAAACUUUUUUAGUGCAUUAUUUAUAUAAAUAGAUACAUAGUCACUGUUCGAUCAGGUUAAGUAAUUAAAAAAAAAAAAGGGAUGGCAGAGACGACGACAUCAUCUUCAUCAACAAGGACCAUUGUAACGAAUGUGAAAUUUGAAGAGGAGAAAUUUGAUGGUACCUAUAAUUUUGGUAUGCGGCAAUGUGAGGUGUCGGAUGCCUUAUGUCAGCAAGAGUUGGACAUCGCCUUUAAAGAAAAACCUAACAAGAUGGAUGCCAAAAAGUUGAUAAGGAUCAAUGGACAAGGAUGUGGUACUAUUCGCCUAUGUCUGGAUAAAGAUAAAAAAUACUCUAUCACGAGGGAGACAUUAGCAAAAAAAUUGUAGAAGAUACUGGAAGAAAAGUACAUAAAGACAAGUCUUGAAAAUAGAUUUUAUAUGAAGAAAAAAAACUCUAUUAAUUCAUGUAUGCACCUUGCAUAUCGAUGAAUGACUAUGUAAACUCAUUCAACAAUAUAUUGGCGGACUGCUAAAUUUGGAUACGAAAUUCAAAGAUGAAGAUAAGGUAUGGUUGCUGUUGAAUUCCCUUCCUGAUGAAUAUGAUCAUCUCACCACUACUUUGGAUUCCUAAUGAAUAAAUUAAAGUCCUUCAGUUUAGUAAAAUUCUUUUGUUACCUUAAUAGUUUCAAUUUUGAGCAUUUUAAUCCUCCUUUAUUUACGACGUCGUUAUUGUAUUAUUUGAUACAUGGAACAUUAAUUAAAUUAUUGUGGAUCUUUUACUCUUGGCAGCGUUGAAUGAUCAAAUAAGAAGUGAAAUCCAGCAUAUGAAAACCGUGCUUGGACAAAACAUACCUAAUAAUUGGAGCUCUCAUUAGAUUAUCCAGAAGCAGUAGCAGUCAGGACAUGAAUGCAUCCAUAUAUAAGCGCUGCCGCACAACAGCUUCCAGAGCUCCAACUUCAGAAUCCGUAUCAGAAGCAACAAUCACAGUAUGAUUUUCAGCAGCAACCAUAUCUUAGGCUAAAUAGUUUUGGAGUUCAAAAGGAGCAAGGGCAAUGCAGCCAACUUUAGUAGCAGUUGCUGCACCAAGAGAAUCCACAGCCACAUGAUCAUUAUAAAAUACAAAACAAAUAGGCACAAGCCCACCAAAUUCAACUACAAUAACAGCUGCCGGAACUUUAAGCAGCUCCAUGCCGUGAGCUUCAUCAUUGGAGAGUGAGGACAGAAAUGAGGCACCAUCAUUCUAAAGAUUUUUUUUUAUAUGAUUCCUAUUAUCGGAUGAUUAAGUACUAUCUAUGUUAGUUUACUAUGUUGUGGUAUUGUGUUGAUUGCUUAUUUCAAGAGAAAUUUAAUUUGUUGUUUGAAUUGUUUGUGUUUGGAGUUUAUUAAAAAUUCAUAAGAAUAUUAUUUGCAAUGCAUUAUAUCAGUUAUUAUAAUUUCCAGAAUUCCAUAAAAUGGAUUUGAUCGAUGCUGCUUAAAUCUUGAUUUUUGAAGGGCUUAAGUUGGUCUUUGUUACACACAUAUAGUUCUUCUCUAGUGCGGGAGCGCUCUUUUUUUUUUUAUGCGAAUACAAUUUAAAAUCGUGGAGUUUAAGAGAGUUAGUUUUUAACUCCCUAAAACCGUAAGGUUUUAUUAAAAAAAAUGUGAACGUCCGCACUUGAGAAUGAUAUUAUAUAUAUAUAUAUAUAUAUUAAAUUGGUUAUGUGCACAUCAUCAUUUCAGCACGUGAUAUGUAUAAUCAUUUCUUGAUUCUCGCAUUCUUUCUUGAUGAGCUACAUAUACAUAUUAGCUAUAAAUAAAUAGAUUGUAAUUAUACUUGUUAAUUAAUAGCUUGUAUCUACUCAUACGUCUACUUUCUUGCAACAAUAUUCCAAGGUAUAACACAAAAAAUUAAAUGUUUAAUCAGAGUUCCAUUUUUUUUUUUUUUUUUUUUCUUGUGCAUAAUCCUUUCAUUAUAAAUUGCUUAAUAGAAAAAUGGUAAAUGAACAAAUGCAAGAGCAGCAAGACAAAGGGUCAACAGAAACGGCAGCCAAUCACGCGUUCCUUUUUGUAAUUGUUUUUUGGGCCAACAACAGAUAAUAAAAUAAGUUUAAAAAAGGGGAAAAAAAUACUCAAAUAUCUUCUGAUAAAGGAAACUCCAUCCACUCAUCCUUGACUCAUUCUCCACCUACAUCAUUCCCGUCCGUUUCACAACUCCACUCGUCUCCGUCACUAACUUACGCUCUAAACACUUCGUCCCCUCCGUUUCCCAUCCUCCAAUCGUUCUCCACCCACAUCAUCUCUCUGUUUCACAACUCCACUCAUCCCCUCACCAACCACUGCUCUAAAUACUUCGUCCCCUCCGUUUCCUUUCUCCACUUGUCCCCGUCCAUUACUUUCUAUCAAUUCAAAGUAAAAAAAAAAAUCAUAACAAUUUAGAUAUAUAAAACGCACGCAUCCAGGAAUUUUUACAAAUUUAAUCCAUCACUUUCUAACAAUUUAAAUUAAAAAAAAAAUUCUAACAAUUUAAAUAUAUAGAACACAACCAAAAAUGAAUUUUAUUUAAAUGUAGUGGGAAAUUGAAAGUUACCGAUUAUCUGGCUACAAUUUCAUCAACGUUGUUGGCGUGGUCUUUGGCACCAAAUUCAGAUCUUUGAAUGCUGGUUUUAUUUCAUUUUUCUUUUGUUAAUGCAAAUGCAAAUCUGAGUUUGUCGGGUUUGGCUUCCUCUGCUUGGGGGAUAAUGGCGUUGAUGGCACAGAAGUAGCUUUCUGUGUUUUAGCUUUUUGUCAUUACUUUCUUCUUUUAAAGUUUUCUUUUCGUUACUUUUUCAUGAUUUUAAUAUUUUAUUUUCAUUAUUUUAAAUUUUUAAACAAAAAGAGAAACAUAAGUGGGACCCAAAGAAACGGCAGGGGGCGCUGCCGUUUCUGUCGGCCCUUUGUUCAUCUAGCUGUGUUAGUUAUCUCUUACAGGUUAAUAAAAGAAAGUACUAUAGUGCUAAAUCACAAUGGUAAUAAUGCUAGAACCACUAAUCCUUUUGUAUAAGGAGUUUGUUGCUCUAUUAUUAAAAUAACAAUAAUAAUUUAAAAAUAUAUAUAAUCUUUGUUGUAAUGCUUUUGUACUCUUCUCAAAUUUCACCAUGGAAAAUAAUAUAUAUGAAAGCGAGUCGCCUUGAAAGCAAAGGCAAGACUGCGACCACGUCUCUUGUGAAUCAUUUCUUAAUUCGUUUGUUCUUUUUUUUCCUUUGCGUGGUGUGGCUGCUUAAUUCUUCUUUAUCUACAAUAUUCAUAGAAAAUAAUAUGUAUAGAAACAAGUAUGGGAUUGAUCCAGCUACAUAACAGCAUAUAAUAAAACCACAUCCUGUAAAUAAAAAGAAAGCUAUUAUAUAAAUGAAACGAAACGAAACGAAACCUACAGGUUUUACGUACGGACUAGACUACUAAAUGCUAAAAUCUAAAAAUUGAUACCAUUUUAGUAAUAUCAUUAACAUAUUUUUAAUAAACAACGCACAAUAGAUAAUUACUGAACUACAAGAAAGUUUAUAUAAUUUUCUGAUAAAUCGCAUAGUUUAUAUAAUGCAUAUAGCCAAAGAAAGAGAAAUUAAGGAUUGGUGCAUUGUUUCACUUGAUUAAAGAUCUGAUACAGGGGGCCAUGAGCAGACAGAAUUCACGUGCAAUUGUUUCAAUUUUUUUUUUUUCCCCACUAGUCUCCUUUGCCAUAUCAAACUCCAGAAGUAAAAAUCUCAAUUCACAAACCACAAAGAACAAGUGAAAAGAUUGAAGGUCUGAAAGAUCGGGUCCACAUCUUCAAGAGAAAGAGUAACGCAUUUGACACUUUUGAUUUUAAAAAGCUUUAUUGGCAGACACACAUAAUAAUUACGGAGCACAUACAAAAACGCAAUAAUGCCAUGUAAUGAUAUUUUUAAAAUAGACGUAAUAAUUUUCACCAACCACGAGAUAACUAUUAUUCUUCUUCAUGUAGUUUUCUCUUAUCAGAUAACUACUUUCAUUUAUUUUUCUUUAAAUUUCUCUUAUAAUUAUUACAAUAAUUUAUAUAUUUAUGUCAUUAUAAAAUAAAUAGUAAAUGAUGAAUAAAAAUUAUUUCCCUCCCUUUGUUUGCCUUUUUUAAAAUUAUUCAACUUGUUUUCUAAGGUUAAGAAUGAAGGAAUAAUGGUAUAAAAGGUAAUGAGCAGACAGUAAUUUAGGCUAGGAUGUAUGUAUUUUCUGGGUUAAUGAAAGGGUGAGAAAGCAAUCAACUGCAAUAAUACACUCUUAAGAAAAAGAAGAGCGUCAUAACAGAACAAAAAUUGUAAUCGGACAAAGAAAGAUAGUGUACAAACAAUAAUUGAAGAGAGAAUGCUCAUUAAGGAAUAUGGCAACAGAUGUCCAAAACUUAAAGGCCCUCGCGAUGACCCUUGAAAAAAGCAUAUAAUCACGUUACACAAAAAGGCAUCUUUGUAACAGUCAUUUAAAGUGGUGAGUAAUGAUAGAUGUCGUCUUUUAUGAGCUAUCGACAUCGCAGAUGACGCUUUUAUAGAUAUAAAUACACAAGUUAUUUUAUUAGUCAUUUUCGUCUAUUUUACAAUGAUUUAAAUAUACAAGUUAUUAUAAUAAUUAUAAGAAAAAUUUAAAGAAAAAUAAAUGAAGGUGGAUAGUGGUUGACUGGUGGAAGGAAAAUAAAUGGAGGAAGAUAGUAAUUGUCUAAUAGUAUUGGUGAUAAUUAUUAUGUUUAUUUUAAAAAUUAUUAUUGUGUUUUUUCAUGUGCUCAGUAAGAAAAAUGAUAGAUUUUUAAAAUUUAAGUAAAUGUCGGGUAUCUUAAGGAUGAAGUUUUUCAUUAUUAUUCUUGUUGCUAUUAUUAUUAUUAUUAUUUAGAUUGUUUUAAAUUUGGAUAUAUACUUAAGUGGAAAGAAGAAAAUUGGAUAUUUAUAUAUUUAUUAUGUUGUAGUAAAAAUUGAUUAAUUAUUCAUAAAUUUUAAAAAUCAGUAUGUUGAUUCUUUAGUGCAAGUAGUCAUAUUUUCAUAAAAAUGAAAUCUACUCUGAUUUAGUGCAUGACUUAUUACUCUCGAGAUGAUGAAAUCCUUGCUAAUAAUAGUUUUAACAUGCCAUUGUUAUUACUUAAGUUGAAAAAAGAAACAAAAAUUAUGAGACUGGUUGAAUAACUAACUUGUCGAUAAUAGACAAUUAAAUUUAGGUUACUAAUGAUUAUCCAAUUUGGUAAGUCUAGUUUAUAAAAGUCAAAAGCAAGAAAUCGCACUAUAACAAUAUCAAGUUUCUUCUUCUUCUUCUUCUUUUGUGGGUAAGAUAAGUCCUAAUAAUUCUAUUGUUAAUCAUAAUGCACUUUUCUGCAUAUUGUAGUUGGUUGGAUAAGAUAUUUAGUUAAAAUGUUCUAAAAAUUUUAAUAGUGUUGUGUGCAUUGAUUUUGGCUAUUUUGUAUAUGGUAGUUGGUUUUUUUUUUUUUUUAAUAUUGAUAUACCAGAGGUAUUUACAAUUACGAUAUAGUAAUAAGACUUGUGUACAUUAAUUUGACCCUUAUACAUUUUGUGAGAGAUAACACUAUUACUACUCAAUGUCUCAAUUAUGAAAUAAUUGAAGAUGGAUUGCAACUAAUUUUCGUAAUACUUUUAAAGAGACUCGAACUUUUCUCCUAUGCCAAAGGCUCAUUAGUGUAAAUGGUCGUUGGUUGAAUCAGAUACUCUCAUCUCAAGAUAGUGUUAAUAAAGUCAAUAGCAACCAAAUGAACAAAGUAUAUAUAGAAGAAUAGUUUCGACUAAAUUCAAUAGACACCUCCAUGACGUUGGCAAGGUAUGCAUAUAAAUUAUAAUUAAUUUUGAUUUAUUUGUAUCUUUCAUAUUGGUUAUGCACACACAUAAUUGUUGCAUUAUUUUUAACUAUUUUAAUUUAGUAUUGGGGUAUUGUUGCAGGAUUAUGAAUGUUGUUAGUUGCCUCCGAAAGGGUGUUUUGAUCACUUGUGAAGAAUGUAGUUUUCCUUUGUAAAGAAUGUUUUGUUAUUUACGAUGUAAUGGAUAUCCAAUUUGGGAUGUGUAAAACAGGAAAUACCAGUCAUUUGAAUCAUAAAUAGUAUUUGCUGUACAAUAAAUUUAUGUACUUUCUAGAUGCUUGAUAAUGCAGUCUUUGCCAAUUCAUAUUAGCUUAAUAUGAAAAUUAAAUAGUAGAUUCAAAUAUUUUUAAAUAUUUUAUAAUUUAAAAUAAUAUUAAUUAAUUCAAAAAUAUCACCUUUAUCAUCCAAAGAUGACUCCCAAUAUAAAAAGUUAGUCUUUUGUUCAAAUAAAGUUAACAAUUACUAAGAAAAAGAGUGUCAUCACUUUGGUCAUGUUUGGCAUGCCGCAUUAUACUGUAUUAGCGCUCUGCAUUGCAUUAAAAUAUGACAAUACGAUGUUUGGCACUUCUCUGAUAUUGCAUUAAAAAAAAAUUAAUGCGGGAAACCCCGCAUAACGGAAACCCGAGUGAAACUCGGGUUUAUACUGUAUUAGCUUCUUCAUCUUCGUCUUCUCUAUUUCUCUCUCUUUCUUUUUUUCCUUUUCCUCUCUUCUUCUUCAUCUUCCCUGUUACUCUCUCUCUCUUUUUGUUUUAUUUUUUUCCUUUUCCCCUCUUCUUCUUCGUCUUCGCUGAUUCUCACUCUCUCUCUUUUUUUCUUUUAUUUUUUCCCUUUUCCCCUCUUCUUCUUCGUCAUAUCUGUUUCUCUCUCUCAUUUUUAUUUUUUCCUUUUCCCCUCUACUUUUUCGUCUUCUCUGUUUCUUCUUCUUCUCCUCAGUUUCUUGUUUGUCAUCUUCUCAUCCAUUUCUCAGUUUCUUAGCUCUUUUGCUUUUGCAUUUGCUGCUUCCUUUUUUUUUUUUUUUUUACUUUUGCUUUUGCUUUUUUUUAAUAAUAAGAAAUAAUAUAACUUUUUAAUAUAAUAUAAUAUAAUAUAAUAUAAUAUAAUAUAAUAUAAUAUUUUAUUUUAUUUUUAUAUCAUAAUUAUUAAUAUAAAUUAAUAAUUUAUUAUUCAUAUUUUAAUUUUUAUUAUAUUAAAAAUAUUACUAAAUAAUGUAUUAUUUAAUUAUAUAAUAAUUAAUAUAUCAAAUUGAUUAAUAAGUACUUAAAUAAUAUAUAAAAAUAAGAAUAUAACUUGAUAUUAUAUUAUUUAAUUAUAUUAUAGUAAUUAAUAUAUAAAAAAUUAAUAUAACUAAUAAAAAUAUUUAUAUAUGAAUAAAUUUAAAUAAUAUUAAUUUAAAAUAAAUGUUAUGCUGUCGAUUAUAAGACUAUAAGCUUCAAUCUUUAUGGAAAAAUUAUUUUUUUAAUAUUUAUACUAAAAAAUAAUGUCAACUUUUUAAAAUUUAAGAUUUCUAUAUUUUGUAUUUUUCUAGAUACUAAUAAAUAUUAUUUUCUAAAUAUAUAAUUUAAGUUAAUCAUAAAAAAAUUAAUAUAGUAUAGUACAGCACCAAAUAUUAUAUAACAUUAUUAUAAUACAGUGCUAAUGUAAUACAACAUAAUAUAAUAUAUCAACAUAAAAAUAAUAAUAUAACAUAAUAUAAUACAAUAUAUUAAACACACCCUUUAAAAAUUAUUAGAGAAUUUUCCUUAUUAUAUUAUUUGAUGACUGAUAUUUUACAGCAUGAGUCAUGUACAAAACAGUCAUCUGCAAUAUAGAUAACUUAUUAAAGACGACAUCUAUCAUUACCUACCAUUUUAAACAACUGUUUUAAAGAUGAUUUUUUUUUUUUUUUUGCCGCGUCAUUAUGUAUCUUUUUCAAGAGUCAUCUUUAUCAUUUAUUGUAGUGCGAGGGCCUUUAAGUUUCGUACAUAUGUUGCCAUGUUCAUUAAUGGGUAAAGUUUAUGUUACAUUAAGUGUAUGUUACAAUUAUAUAUUUUUAAACCCUUAGAAAAGAUAAUAAUUAUUAAAAAAGUCAAUAAAUUUUAAUGUUUUACAUUAUACCCUAUAUUAUUUAUACUUCAGGUUAUUUACACCCAAGUUGUAAUAUUUUAAUUUUUUUGAAGUUCUUCAUUUAUAUUUAUAGCAAAGUUAGUAUCAAAUUGCUCAAUAAAUUUUUUUAUUUUAUUUAAUUGAAUCUUUAACUUGUUUAAUAUUAUAUUUAUUGAGUUUUUAUUCAUUAUAUUAAUAAUCUCUUGGUUUAAUAUAUCAUGAUUUUUAAUGUUGAAGUCUUUUAUGAAUUGUUCAACUUUAUUAAAUUCUUUACUUAGUUGAUCACUUGAUCUCUUAACUUUUUAAUUUAUUUUAUAUCCUUCAUUGAAAUUAUUAAUUUCUAAUAUUUUGUUUACCAUUUCUAUAUCAUUUAUAGAUAAAUUUAGAUUUUCUAAUUUAUUUAAUAAAUAUAGUGACAUUCAAUUUAAUUGAUUAUUUCUCCACAUGUUUGAAUCAUUGAUAAGAUCAAAGAAUUGGAAUCUUUUUAUUAGAGGCUUCGGUAAUUUAUUCAUUAUACCAUCUUUUUAAUAAUUCAUUAGAUUUAUAAGAUAUUUAUUUCAUAUAAUAUCUCUUAUAAUUCAUGAUACUAAAUUUAAAUUACAAAAUCUGUGUGAUGGCAUUGAUGAUAUGUAUUUAAGAAGGAAAAUAGAUUGAGUGUGUGUGUGUGUUAGAAGAAAAUUUUAGUUUAUGUCUCAAGAGAGACAAUAAAUUAUAAAUGUAAGUGUAAAAAUAUAUUCAAAAUUUGUGGAUCUUUAUGAAUAUAAUAAUCAUUUAAAUCUUUUAUAAAAAUGUUGUAAAAACUUUAUAAAGUUUUAAAAAUAAAUGUAGAAAAGAUGGAUGAAAAAAUCAUUUAAUUAUAAAAAAUCAAUGAGGACUUAUUUGAAAAAUAAGUAAAUAUAUGAUUAGAAAUAAAAUUUUUUAUAAAUAUCUAUUUCACCUGUACUUUAUUUUAUGUUAAAAUUAUUUUUAUCCAUUAGAUUUAAGGAAUAUCAAAAUCAAUGGCCUAUAUUCAUUGAUUGUUUGUUACAUUAUAUGUACCGUAGGCUUUGCCUCAUUAAUGAGCAUUCUCUCUUCAAUUAUUGAUUGUACCCUAUCUUUUGUUUUAUAUUUAAUUUGUCGACACUUUACUCUGUCUUUGCCCGAUUACAAUUUUUGUUCUGUUAUGAUGCUUUUCUUUUUCUUAAAAUGCACACUUUGACACAAGACCAUUAAUCUGCUCGUCAAUCUCGUGUGUGUAUUAUUGCAAUUGAUUGCUUUCUCACCCUUUAUUAACCCAGAAAAUACAUACAUCCUUGCCCAAAUUACUGCCCGCUCAUUACCUUUUAUACCAUUAUUUUUUUCAUCCCUAACCUCAGAAAAGAAGUUGAAUAUGGCCGCGGAAACUGUUGCUUCAGUUACCCAGCCUAUUACGGAGAAGAUUGUUGACGUGUUGUUCAAUGCAACCGUCCGUCAGUUUGGUUACUUGUGUAAGUACAAACGCAACAUUGAAGCGUUGAGGGCGGAAGCAAAGAAGCUCACAGACAGAAGAAACGACUUGCAAGCGGAAAUUGAUGCUGCAACAAGAAAUGGAGAAGCUAUUAAAGAUGAGGUUCAAAGAUGGAUAGCAGAAGUUGAUGAGAUCAUUCCAAAAGCUGAAAAGUUUUUGGAGGAUGAAGUGAAAGUAAACAAGAAAUGCCUUGGCGGGUUGUGCGUUGAUCUCAAAUCACGUUACAAACUCAGCAGAGAGGCAGAGGAGAAGACUCUGGCAAUUUCUGGUCUCAUGGCUGAUGGAAAUUUUGGAAAAGAUGUGUCUCGUCCUGCUCCUCCACCAGCAAUAAUAUCUUCGUCUGAAGGAUUCUACGCUUUCAAUUCCAGGGAAUCAGCAAUGAAGGAUAUAAUGGAGGCCAUGAAGAGUGAAAAUGUCAGCAUAAUAGGAAUAUGCGGAAUGGGGGGUGUGGGGAAGACCACACUAGUCAAGGAAAUUCAGAAGCAAGCAAAAGAAAUGAAGAUGUUUGAUGAUGUAGCGAUGGCCGUUGUGUCUCAAACUCCAACCAUUACCAAGAUUCAACAUGAGAUUGCUGGCUGGUUAGGUGUUAAAAAACUGCCUGACAAUGACGAGUCAGCAAGAGCUAGUUUUUUGUGGGAAAGAAUCAAAGAGAAGCAGCGAGUGCUUGUCAUAUUGGACGACUUAUGGGGGCGGAUAAAAUUGUCUGAGGUUGGUAUUCCUUACGGGAAGGAUCACAGAGGCUGUAAUAUUUUGCUCACAUCUCGAUCACGUGCCGUCUGCAAUCAAAUGAAUGCUAAUAAAAUUGUUGAAGUCGGAACUUUAACGAACGAAGAAUCUUGGAGCCUUUUCAGGGAGGUAGCUGGUCCAGAAGUUGAUAAUCUUGAAAUAAACCCGACUGCAAGAGAGGUGGCUGACGCGUGCGGUGGCUUGCCAAUUGCGAUUCUCACAAUAGGAACAGCGCUGAAGGAUAGAGACAAGCAUGUUUGGAAAGAUGCAGCCGAACAACUCAAAAGUUCCGCCCCAACGAACAUCGAAGGGAUGGAAGAGUUUGUAGUUUCACGCGUGGAGCUGAGCUACAAUUAUCUGAAAAGCGAGGAGGCAAAAUCAAUCUUCCGACUCUGCAGCUGCUUUCCAGAAGAUUACGAUAUUCCAAUUGAAGUGUUGGCGAGAUACGGAUGGGGUUUGAGGUGCUUACAAAACGUCGAUUCAGUGGAGAAGGCCAGAGGCAGAGCACGUAGUGCUGUAAGUACCCUUAUCUUUUCUUAUUUGUUAAUUGAUGGUGAGGAGGAAGGGUGUGUUAAAAUGCAUGACGUUGUGCGUUAUGUUGCACAACAAAUAGCGUCUAAAAAUAAGUUCAUGAUUAAGGCCGGCGUCGAGCUAAAAGACUGGCCAAGCAUAAAUACAUUUGAAGAUCUGACUGGAAUCUCAUUGAUGUUCAAUGAUAUUCAUGAGGUACAUGAGGGGUUGGAGUGUCCAAGGCUCCAAGCUUUAUUGCUGCAGGAAAAUUCUCUCUUAGUUAUUCCUGACAGAUUUUUUCAAGGGAUGAAAGAUCUGAAAGUUUUAGACUUGGGAGGAAUCCGAGGGUUUUCACUGCCUUCCUCACUUUCAUUCCUUAUUAACCUUAGAACUUUAAGUCUUCAUGAUUGCCGUCGCUUCGGGGACCUACCUUUAAUCGGAGAGUUAAGUCUAUUAGAGAUUCUUGAUCUUUCAGAAUCUGAUGUAAGUGAAAUUCCGGUCAGUUUUGGACGAUUGGGUCAUCUAAGAUUGUUGGAUUUGACAGACUGUGACCACCUAGAACUAAUACCCCGAGGUGUCCUCUCUAGCCUUCGUAAGUUAGAGGAGUUAUACAUGUCAGACAGUUUUUGCCACUGGCAAUUUGAGAGCGAAGAAGAUGCAAGAAGUAAUGCCAAAUUUAUUGAGUUAGGAGCCUUAAGUCGACUCACUAGUUUGCAUAUUCACAUCCCGAAAGGCAAAAUCAUGCCUUCUGAUAUGUCCUUCCAAAAUCUGACAAGCUUUUCGAUUACAAUUGGCGACCUUGAGGAGGACCCUCUCAGUGAUUUAAUAGAACUAUUUUUGGAAAAGUUUAAUAAGAGAUGCUCGAGAGCAAUGGGACUUUCACAGGACAUGAGGAUUUCAGCGCUACAUUCUUGGAUUAAGAAUUUGCUGCUCAGAUCAGAGAUUCUUGCUUUGGUAGAAGUCAACGAUUUGGAGAAUAUAUUCUCGAACCUAGCUAAUGAUGGCUUUAACGAUUUGAUGUGUCUAGCUAUUUUCGGCUGCAAUGAGAUGAAAUGUCUCUUGAACUCAUUGGAAAGGACACUACGAGUAACUCUCCUCAAGCUAGAAUGGUUGAUGAUAGUUGAUAACCGGAACUUUGUUGAAAUAUGCCACGGUCAACUCCCAGCCGGGUGCUUGAGCAAUGUAAAAAGGUUAGAUGUGGUAGAUUGUGGCUGUAUGUUGAAAAUUUUACCAAGUCAUUUGGUACAAAGCUUUCAAAAUCUUCAACGUUUGAGGGUAGAAAGUUGUGAGCUGCUGGUGUCUGUAUUCGAAAUUGAAAGGGUUAACAUUGCAAAAGAAGAAACUGAGUUGUUUUCGUCAUUAGAGAAACUGACUCUGAUGGACCUGCGUCGGAUGACAGACAUAUGGAAAGGUGACACUCAAUUUGUAAGUCUCCGUAACUUGAAGAAAGUAAGAGUGCAAGAUUGCAAUGAGUUGAGACAAGUAUUUCCAGCAAGUCUUGGGAAGAAAGCAGCAGCAGAGGAGAUGGUACUGUACAGGAAAAGAAGAGAUCACAUUCACAUUCACGCCACAACCUCAACCUCCUCUCCGACUCGGAGUUUGGGAAACCUGGUUUCUAUUACAAUUCAGAGAUGUGGGAAAUUACGAAAGCUCUUCACAACCUCCAUGGUCAAAAGCCUGGUGCGACUUGAAAGCCUAGAAGUAAGCAGCUGCCCAACACUGCAAGAAAUAAUCAUGGAUGAUGAAGGAGAAGUGGGACUGCAGGGAGCAUCAACAGAGAAGAUCACGUUUCCAAGUUUGUUCAGCAUA
rnacentral:lncRNA from 1 species